rfam:Bacteriovorax sp. Seq25_V contig_35, whole genome shotgun sequence.
AGAGUCAAGGAGACUAUCGCUGGAGACUUCGGUCUCGGGAGGAAAGUCCGGGCACCAUAUGGCAGCUUAGCGGGUAAUGCCCGUCCACCGUGAGGUGAGGACAAGUGCAACAGAAAGGAAGUACAGGGGUUUGAGUUAGAUUGGGGUAGCGUAAGCCGGCCAAUCAGCGAGAGAUUUAUCUCACCUGCUGUAGUGAAAACAGGUAAACUCUAGGCGGUGCAAGUUCAAAUAGGUUCACGUUAUGGGGGCGGCCAGCUUCUGUGAACGGGUCGAGCGCUUGAGCCUAUUGGUAACAAUAGGCCUAGACGAAUGGUAGUCGAAUACAGGACCCGGCUUAUACCUUGGCUCUUUUU